rnacentral:lncRNA from 1 species
CUACAUUACAUGCAAUAGUACCUAGAAUUACUACUGGAAAAAUAUAUAAAAGAUCAUUGGGCCAUGCGGGCUCUCCAUAAUAAUUAUGACCCAUACCUUUAGCCAAUUUAGCUCUUAAUACAGGAUCAUUCAAGUCAGGUUUUUUUGUUAUUGGGAUAGGUGAAUUCUUAUAGAUCCAUCCCCCGAGGGAACUGGACAUGAUAAUUUUUAAUCAUCCAGCUCGAGCAAGAAUAAAAAGAACCAAAUGAAUCCAUAUAUCCAUAUAAAAUAUAUAUAUGGUACCUGUCUUUACACAUCCACAUAUAUGAUAGAGGAAUGGUUCAAUGUAAGAAAAAUUUGACUGAAUUCUUUUUUAUGGAAUUGCAACUAUCCAUUACAAGACAAAGAAUUCCAUUCUUACAAGUAAAUACUCAAGACCUGAGUAGGCUUACAAAUCAGAUCAUGAUGUGAUCAAGUGCUUUCUCGGUUAUCUCAGUCCUUUUAAUUGGUAUUUAUCUCCAAAAUGCUUGGAGAUACACAUACAAGGUUUGCUUGUUACUAAUAUAGUCUAGCCUCUCUUCUUCAUUAGAUCCCUUGUUUCACUCCGAUAGUAGUAUUGAUCGUGUCAAUGCAGAGGAAAUGAAUACAUUUACAUACUAUUAAAUCUUAUAAGUGAACUAGAUAAAAUAGAAUGUUGAUUUUGUUUUAUCUAGUUCACUUAUACUAGACCUUACGAAGCUUGCUCAUGUACAACAUGAUUCGGACCUGAUCAUAGAAAAGAUUCCCUUUAAGCGAACCAGCCUAUCCUCUGUAUAGGGCUUACACGGCGAUUGGAACAAAGACACAUUUGGUUGUGAAUUCCCAUGUGGCAGGCAUAUAUCUACACAGACCAAUCAAUAAUUCAAGUCACACACUCCCAUAAUCCAUUUUCUCUUCACAAAAUUCCCUUCAAUCCCCCCGUUUAGUUGACAUGAAUAGUUAAAGGGAAAUAUCCAAAUCCAUGUCUUAUUAUUUUCAAUAAUCCAUACUUGUAGCAAUGAAAUACUAUAUAUUCCUCCACCAAGUGAUAAAUGAUUGAUUACAAAUAUUUAGGAUAUAUUUUUUUUGCUCUAUCUAUAAAGGCCCAGAAAUACCCUGUU